UACGUAGGUGGCAAGCGUUAUCCGGAUUUACUGGGUGUAAAGGGCGAGUAGGCGGGAUUGCAAGUCAGAUGUGAAAUCCUGCGGCUUAACCGCAGAACUGCAUUUGAAACUGUUGAUCUUGAGUGCUGGAGAGGCAAUCGGAAUUCCGUGUGUAGCGGUGAAAUGCGUAGAUAUACGGAGGAACACCAGUGGCGAAGGCGGAUUGCUGGACAGUAACUGACGCUGAGGCGCGAAAGCGUGGGGAGCAAACAGG
rnacentral:rRNA from 1 species